rnacentral:rRNA from 1 species
UGGGGAAUAUUGGGCAAUGGGCGCAAGCCUGACCCAGCAAUGCCGCGUGAAGGAAGAAGGCCCUCGGGUUGUAAACUUCUUUUAUCAGGGACGAAGGAUGUGACGGUACCUGAUGAAUAAGCUCCGGCUAACUACGUGCCAGCAGCCGCGGUAAUACGUAGGGAGCAAGCGUUAUCCGGAUUUACUGGGUGUAAAGGGCGCGUAGGCGGGAUGGCAAGUCAGAUGUGAAAGCCCGGGGCUCAACUCCGGGACUGCUUUUGAAACUGUGUUGCUAGAUUGCAGGAGAGGUAAGUGGAAUUCCUAGUGUAGCGGUGAAAUGCGUAGAUAUUAGGAGGAACACCAGUGGCGAAGGCGGCUUACUGGACUGUAAAUGACGCUGAGGCUCGAAAGCGUGGGGAGCAAACAGGAUUAGAUACCC